rnacentral:pre_miRNA from 1 species
AACAAACUAAUCUUUCACUUUUUAUCUAUAAUGUUUGUCUCUUCGUCUUAUUUAAAAAAAUUUACGAUUAACAUUUUUAUUUUAUUAGAUGAUAAAUCAUGAAUAAUACUUUACGUGUGACUAAUUUUUUUAAUUUCUCAAAAAAAAAAAUUCAAAUAAGACGGAUGAUCAAACGCUGAACACGAAAAUCGAAAGAUUGGUUUGUU